GGACUUUCAAGACUGGGGAGCCCAUAACCUGCCACUCAAAAUGGCGCCGGGAUGGGAACAGAUCGGAUCAGAUGCGGCGGGAAACCACCAGGGCCACUGCCGGCCCGGCAACACCAUGAAGAUGGUGUGUUCAUGGCCAGCCUGCAGGUCCACCGGGGCUGCCAAAGGAGACACCUCCUUGCCAAUCCACGUCGCCACGCGUGCCCGCCCACGCCAGCCCCUCCGUGGCCGGAAGCGCCUCUGGCUGACCGGAAGUGCCUUGCCGCAGAGGCUGCCGGGAGUUGUAGUUCCACCCCAAUCCAGGGGCGCCUACGCAGUGCAGGGGUGUCCGAGUGUGAUCUGCGCACUUCCGGACCCCAGUCUGGUAUUACGGCGUCCAGCACCUCGGACCUGGCCGGUUCUGAGGUCUCCGCGGCACCUCGGACUGGUGGUUCCCUCGGCUCCCGGCUGUAGGGAGGGCACGUGUGGCGGAAUCCACGGCUGCAUAGCCAGGUCCCUGAACUCCACUCAGGCGUCCAGACCUCCUGUGGGUGAGGAGGGAACUGCUGAGGAAAGGCCCCCCUUCUCUCCAACCCUCCCUCCCUCCUGCGGACCCUACAUCCAGCCAAGGGUAGGCUCUGAGCUAUGAGGGCAAUUAAGGAAGUUUGUGAAACGAUUGUUAUUUCAGGGGUCUACAGUGUCAGUAUUCGUCUGACAAGCCUUUAGAGUGUCUGGGUCAGCCCCUGGGGAAGCACCGGGUCGCAUCCGUGGCUGGGGUCCUAUGGAGAUGUCAGUCCUGUGAACAGAUGAGGGCCCUCAGGGUAUGGGUGCCCUGGUAGUUAUCUCUACUGGAUGAAUGGACAUCCUGGGAGGGAGGGAGGUUCCCACUGGGGGAGGCGGGGCUAAAGAUCAGACUUAAAUAGGGUCUGCGUAGGUGGAAGGGGGCAAAAGGGUAUUCCAAGCGGAGGGAACCGCAUAUGCAAAGGUAAGAGGCUUAAACCGAGGGGGUACGGCUGGAUUCCGCGCUCUGGAGUAGCCCUGAGGUGGUGAGGGAGCAGAUCAAGGUAGCUUAGGGGGUGUGGGCUGGGUCCUGUUGGUGCCUGAAGUGUUUUAAGCAAGGCAUUGGCGCGGUUAUACUUGUUUUUUGGUCGGAAUGUAUGAGCAGCUGAAUAAGGUAGUGAGAGAAGAGUAGAGGCGUCGUAUCUCAGAUUUGUGAAGCCAUAGCGGCGCCGGGUCUCGGGAGUGAAGGUGGGGUAGUGUGAGCGCAUCUGUUUGCAGACAGAGAAAGUUCAGUGUAGUCUUUUCUUCUAAGGCAGUUGGUGAAGAAAGAGAGCAACGUGAGGGUGGGAAGUGAUGCAGAAAUGAUGGAGGAUUUGUCUGUCUUUGAUUCUUUUUUGUUCAAGUUGGGACAGAUUUGAGCUGUGGGAAAAAACAAACUGGUACUGUAGUUUUAAAUCUUGAUAAGGUCAAAUGUAUCAGGUUUUUCCAUUAUGCCUUGAACUUGGGUUUUAUUGAAGGAGUUUCCCCUACUGCAAUCCAUAGUUCUCUCUUUAUAUUUUUUUCUACUAUUUAUAAUAAGUUAUAUUAGGAAGUAUCUCAAAUGCAGCAUGCAAAGUAGAAAAAGAAAGAAAGCUUUGUGCUUAUCAUCUAGACUGAGCAAAUGUUAAAGGUUUAUUUGCUUCAGAUUUUCUGAAGAACUAAAACCUCAUAAAUACUUGAAGGCUUUUUGCACCCUCCCUAUUGGAUUUUCCUUCUUCUCACUCAGAGGUAACUUCUGAAAUUGCUAUGUAUCCUUUCAUGUUUUGUUUUACUUACAAAUAUGAAUGUAGCCAUAAACAAUAUAUACGCUUGUGUUGUAUAUUCAUCACCUUUGCCUAUAUUUCUUUUGGAUUUUUUUCUUAUUUAUUUUUAGUGUGUUGUCUAGAUACAAAUUCAUUUUGCCUUGUGCACAUUGCAAAAAUUUUGAAUGGAAUUUGAUUGGACCUAAUGUUUCUUUGAUGGGUAUAUUUUUGAGUAUGGAUCCAUUUCACUUAAUGUUCUGUAGUUUAUUUGGUUUUCUGUUGCUUUGUUAAUUUGAUUAAUUUAUAUUUUUCUGGAAAGUUGUCCAAUUUAAUUUCAACGUAAUGGCAUUAUUUAUAAUAGUCUCAUAAUUAAAAGAAAACUCCAGUAUAUCUGUAAUUGUCUCCUUUUUCAUGUCCAAAAAUUGUUUCUUUUUUGCCUUUUCUUGUUUUCUUGAUCAGUCCUGCCUGAAGUUAGUCUAUUUCAUUAGUUUAAAAUACAAAACAACUAUUUUAUUAGUUGUAAUAAAUCCUUUCCAAGAAUUGAAUUUAGUUUUUUUAAUUUUUCAUUUUGGGCACAAUUUCAGAAUUACAGAAAACUCAUAAUAGUAGAAUGAUGCAAAGAAUUCCUAAAUACCUUUCAUCUACAUUCCCCAAAUGCUAACAUUUUACCACAUUUGUAUAGGGGGUUUCAGGAACUGGACGGAUUUCAGGGCCGGUUAAGGAAAAAGAUGGUAAACAUGAAGUGGCAGGAACACAUGCAAAGAUUAUUUACGCGUGCAUGAGGGAGAAAGGGGCCUCUUGCAGCAUGAGUCCACCCAGAGGCUGGGGCCAGGGGCCACUUCCCAGAAGAGAGGAGGAUGAGGGAACCCCGGGGGGUAUCUCUGGGUCAAAGCCACUUGGGGUCUUUAUAGCCACAUGGUUUAUAGCUAUCAGAAACUGGGUGUGGUUUCACAGGGUGGGUAAAGCACGCAGCUUCUAAAUGACUAAAAAUGUGCCAAUAGUUGGACUAUGUUUAAAACAUUCACAUGUGUUGACAUUUGAGUUUGGGGCUGCUGGUCUUUUGAGCUAUUGGUCUCAGUCUGCUGUGAAGAAGUAAACCACCCAGGGGCCAUCUUUGGCUCAUUGCUAAUACAGUUAGCUUUAUCCUGCUUUUCCUCCCCCCGCUAUACAUAUAUGUGUGUGUGUGUGUGUGUGUAAAUACUUCAAUGUGCAUUUCCCAAAAACAAUGGCAUUCUGUCACACAACCACAGUAUAAUGAUCAAAAUCAGGAGAUUAACAUCGAUGCAGUACCAUUGUCUAACCCACAGAUCUUAGUCAGAUUUUACUAGCUGUCUCAAUAAUAAUUUUUCUAGCUAAAGAAAAUCCAGGAUCAUGCAUUGCAUUCCCCCCCACAUCUCUUUAGUUUCCUUUACUCUGGAACAGUUUCCCAAUCUUUCAUUGUCUUUAAUAACAUUGACAUUAUUGAAGAAUACAGGCCAGUUAUUAUAGAACAUUCCUCAAUUUAGGUUUGUCUGGUGUUACAUCAUGAUUAGAUUCAGGUAAUACAUUUGUGGCAGAAUUUUUUUUUAAAUCUGCUUAAUUAUUUCUUUUAUUCUUUUAAAAUUUCUUCUCAUACUUGUCUUUUUUUUAUGUCUUUUGAGUUUAUUCUUUUUUUCUGUGCUAGCCUCCUGCAUUGAAUGUCAUUAAUUUCCAGUUUUAAUUUAAUGCCUAUCUUAGGGCUAUAAUUUUCCUUUAAGUAUGUGUUUGUAAAUAUCUACCAAUUUUGGUAUGUACUAUUUUUGUAGUCGUAAAUAUUUUUGCAUUCUUUUUAUUUUCUGAUUUUAUUACUUUUUGGUUUAGAGAGUGGCAUCUAUGCAGUAUUGAUUUUUAAAAGAUUGGUUGAGGUUUAUUUUUUAGCUUGUCAAUUUUAUAACUGUAUCAGAUGCACUUUAAAAAAUGUAUAUUCUCUAACUAUUGAGUUCAUUCUUCUGUCUGAUCCAAUAGGUCAAGCUUUUAAAUUGUUAUUCACAUCUUAUAUAUUCUUACUGGGGUUUUUUUGUAUCUUAGAUCUUCGUUUCUAAAAGUAUAUACUAAACUCUUUUUGCUGUGAUUGACGAUUUGUCAGUUUCUCCUUGCUGCGUCGCGUCAGUGUUCAAGUGCAUUUGAGCUGCAUAUGUAUCGUGUACAUUUGCUGGGGACACGGACCUAAGAUCGAGUUGAUUUCUGGUCAUUGCUUUGUCUCCUUCCAGUGGGUCGUUCUUUCUUGUUUUUUGUCUGUCUCCGAAUUUUUAAAAUGAAUGCCGCGCAUUGUGUGUGGGAGACUUCUGCUGGGCCGUUUCAGCGUGCGGAGCUGGGAGUGCAGGAGUUUGGUUGCGACAAGACUGGUCAGCAGUUACCAGUUGCGCAAGGCUGGCAUUUGUUGUCGCUAUGGUUACUGUCAGCCUCGGCUGGCGUGGCUCUGUGCUUGGAGCCGGCUGGUUGCUGGUCCCCGCUUCGAGGCCGGAUUCCCUCCCCCCCCCCCCCCCCCCCCCCCCCCCGUGCCCCUUGACUCUCCUCCUGCUGGCACUCCCCCGCCUGCUCCUCGGUGUUGGCUGGCCUGCUGGAGGAGGGGCAGGGUGCUCUUUGUGUCUCAGUCUCAGGAGGGCCCUGGGGUCUUGGGGAUGCUGCCCCUCCCCACGAGGUUGGAGGCUCUAAAAGUCUGAGCCCAGGACCUAUGUCUGCCCCUCUCCCAUGGGGAUAGUGUGUGUUUGUUUCUUUUUCCUGCCACAUGCGGUGGGUCUUACCAGUGCUCUGGGAGCAACAGGGUUUUGCUAACCUUCCCCCAGCAACACAGGGCUUUUGUUCCUCAGGAGAGAAAUUUCGGGAAGAAUGGGGCUUCCCGCGUUUCCAGCAAUGGCAGCCACUCCCCUCCUGUAGGCCUUCACUACCCAGGGAGUCUCCACGUGGUCUCCAGCUCCGCCCUGUCUGUGUUCUUCCUCUUAUCUGUAUAACAAAUCACCACACAUUUAGUGGUUUAAAGCAGCUCACAGCUCGGAGGCCAGACGUCCCAGUGGGAUGGCCACGCUCUCUGCUCGGGUCUCCAAGGCCAAAAUCAAGGCACUGGACGGGGCGGCCUCUUCUCCGGGGCUCCGGGGGAGAGUACACUCCAGGAGUUCGGGGUCAGGGGAAGUGAGUUUCUGGCGGUUUAGGUCGGAGGCCCCUGUGUCCCUGCCCGCUGUCGGCUGAGGGCCUGUCUCAGCAUCUUCUCACACUCACAUCUGUCUUCAAAGCCAGAGACGAUGCACCGGCUCCUUCUUGGGCUUUUGCUCUUCCAGACUCCCCCUCUGACCCCCAUCCGUUUCCAACUCAGAAGUAAAGUGUCCUGCUGAUAUUUUGACCCGAGUCUCACCA
rnacentral:lncRNA from 1 species